GAUGAACGCUGGCGGCGUGCCUAAUACAUGCAAGUCGAGCGAACAGACGAGGAGCUUGCUCCUCUGACGUUAGCGGCGGACGGGUGAGUAACACGUGGAUAACCUACCUAUAAGACUGGGAUAACUUCGGGAAACCGGAGCUAAUACCGGAUAAUAUAUUGAACCGCAUGGUUCAAUAGUGAAAGACGGUUUUGCUGUCACUUAUAGAUGGAUCCGCGCCGCAUUAGCUAGUUGGUAAGGUAACGGCUUACCAAGGCAACGAUGCGUAGCCGACCUGAGAGGGGGAUCGGCCACCCUGGAACUGAGACACGGUCCAGACUCCUACGGGAGGCAGCAGUGGGGAAUCUUCCGCAAUGGGCGAAAGCCUGACGGAGCAACGCCGCGUGAGUGAUGAAGGUCUUCGGAUCGUAAAACUCUGUUAUUAGGGAAGAACAAAUGUGUAAGUAACUAUGCACGUCUUGACGGUACCUAAUCAGAAAGCCACGGCUAACUACGUG
rnacentral:rRNA from 1 species